rnacentral:lncRNA from 1 species
CGAGGAUGCUGAGGAGUGCUGUACAAGGUAUGAAGAACUAAAUUUCUGUGCUGUGUAAUAAGGCCAUCUUUUUUUCUGGCUCCCUUUUCUUUCUUUUGUUUCUUCCGUCUUUCUCAAUGCAAAUCCUGCCUUGUCGUUUCAGUACAUCAAGAAUGUGCAAUCUGCUUCUAGAGGAUGUGUAACAGAUGAGUAAGAAAAACGAAGUCCCCAAUUUGCAAUGAUAUAUGGGUGUUUAUCAUC